rnacentral:rRNA from 1 species
GAAGCAUUUGCGACAGAUUUCUUCGGAUUGAAGUUGCUUAUGACUGAGUGGCGGACGGGUGAGUAACGCGUGGGUAACCUGCCUCACACAGGGGGAUAGCAGUUGGAAACGGCUGAUAAUACCGCAUAAGCGCACAGUACCGCAUGGUACAGUGUGAAAAACUCCGGUGGUGUGAGAUGGACCCGCGUCUGAUUAGCUUGUUGGCAGGGUAACGGCCUACCAAGGCAACGAUCAGUAGCCGACCUGAGAGGGUGACCGGCCACAUUGGGACUGAGACACGGCCCAGACUCCUACGGGAGGCAGCAGUGGGGAAUAUUGCACAAUGGAGGAAACUCUGAUGCAGCGACGCCGCGUGAGUGAAGAAGUAAUUCGUUAUGUAAAGCUCUAUCAGCAGGGAAGAUAGUGACGGUACCUGACUAAGAAGCUCCGGCUAAAUACGUGCCAGCAGCCGCGGUAAUACGUAUGGAGCAAGCGUUAUCCGGAUUUACUGGGUGUAAAGGGAGUGUAGGUGGCAUCACAAGUCAGAAGUGAAAGCCCGGGGCUCAACCCCGGGACUGCUUUUGAAACUGUGGAGCUGGAGUGCAGGAGAGGCAAGUGGAAUUCCUAGUGUAGCGGUGAAAUGCGUAGAUAUUAGGAGGAACACCAGUGGCGAAGGCGGCUUGCUGG